rnacentral:rRNA from 1 species
GAUGAACGCUAGCGACAGGCCUAACACAUGCAAGUCGAGGGGCAGCACAUGAGUAGCAAUACGAUGGUGGCGACCGGCGCACGGGUGAGUAACACGUAUGCAACCUGCCUUCUACUAUGGGAUAACCCGUUGAAAGACGGACUAAUACCGUAUAAUACAGGGGCUCCGCAUGGAGAUAUUUGUUAAAGAUUUAUUGGUAGAAGUAUGGGCAUGCGUAUGAUUAGAUAGUUGGUGAGGUAACGGCUCACCAAGUCAACGAUCAUUAGGGGUUCUGAGAGGAAGGUCCCCCAACUGGUACUGAGACACGGACCAGACUCCUACGGGAGGCAGCAGUGAGGAAUAUUGGUCAAUGGACGAGAGUCUGAACCAGCCAAGUCGCGUGAAGGAAGACGGUUCUAUGAAUUGUAAACUUCUUUUGUGCAGGAAUAAAGUGGGUUACGUGUAACCUUUUGUAUGUACUGUACGAAUAAGGAUCGGCUAACUCCGUGCCAGC